GUUUGGGGUGUCUUGGAUUCCUCACAAUUUGGUACACAUUCAUUCUGGAUUGGGGCUGCCACGGAGGUGGCACGGUUGGGCCUGGGUGAUGAGCUGGUUAAGAAAAUUGGGAGGUGGGAAUCAGUCAGGUUCCGGUCUUAUGUUCGUCCUGAUCGGUUGGUGUAAUUCAGGUCAGGUGGUGGUGGGGAGACACUCUGUUCUGUUCAGGUGGUGCUAUGUUGUUUCUUUUCCUAUACUGGUGGGGUUACGUGGCUGGUAGGAAACUCUUACGUCUAC